GCACAAGCAGCGGAGCGUGUGGUUUAAUUCGAUGCUACACGAAGAACCUUACCUGGGUUUGACAUAGAGGUAGUAGGGAAGCGAAAGCGGACCGACCUUCGGGGAGCCUCUACAGGUGUUGCAUUGGCUGUCGUCAGCUCGUGUCGUGAGAUGUUCGGUUAAGUCCGCUAACGAGCGCAACCCUCGCUGUGUGUUACAAGUGUCACACGGUACUGCCGAUAUUAAGUCGGAGGAAGGUGGGGAUGACGUCAAGUCAGCAUGACCUUUAUAUCCAGGGCUACACACACGCUACAAUGGCCAGUACAAUGGGUUGCCAAGCCGCGAGGCGGAGCCAAUCCUAAAAAGCUGGCCUCAGUUCAGAUUGCAGUCUGCAACUCGACUGCAUGAAGUUGGAGUUGCUAGUAACCGCAGGUCAGCAAUACUGCGGUGAAUACGUUCCCGGGGAUU
rnacentral:rRNA from 1 species